rnacentral:rRNA from 1 species
UGCAGUCGACGAUGAUCCCAGCUUGCUGGGGGAUUAGUGGCGAACGGGUGAGUAACACGUGAGUAACCUGCCCUUGACUCUGGGAUAAGCCUGGGAAACUGGGUCUAAUACCGGAUAUGACUCCUCAUCGCAUGGUGGGGGGUGGAAAGCUUUUGUGGUUUUGGAUGGACUCGCGGCCUAUCAGCUUGUUGGUGGGGUAAUGGCCUACCAAGGCGACGACGGGUAGCCGGCCUGAGAGGGUGACCGGCCACACUGGGACUGAGACACGGCCCAGACUCCUACGGGAGGCAGCAGUGGGGAAUAUUGCACAAUGGGCGCAAGCCUGAUGCAGCGACGCCGCGUGAGGGAUGACGGCCUUCGGGUUGUAAACCUCUUUCAGUAGGGAAGAAGCGUAAGUGACGGUACCUGCAGAAGAAGCGCCGGCUAACUACGUGCCAGCAGCCGCGGUAAUACGUAGGGCGCAAGCGUUAUCCGGAAUUAUUGGGCGUAAAGAGCUCGUAGGCGGUUUGUCGCGUCUGCUGUGAAAGACCGGGGCUCAACUCCGGUUCUGCAGUGGGUACGGGCAGACUAGAGUGCAGUAGGGGAGACUGGAAUUCCUGGU